GUUUUGACUAGACGAAAUGACGUUGCAGAUAUCUGUAAUGUCGUGCUAUUAGUCCUCCCACUUUCAGGCGGAAAGCGGUGAAAUGCCUGAUUUGAACUUUUGACGCCUUUUAUUGACGCCUUUUUUUUUGUCUGUCGUGGUCAUGGCCUCCCGGCUGGACAACGUUUCCCUUUUUGACAGACUUUUCAGUACAACUACCCGUGCUCGACAGGAACUGGCAGCAAGAGAAACGGAUAAUAUUGUGGAUGCGACGAGACGGCUAUUUCGCCGUCAGCCCCAACUCCUUCGGAGUAAGUGUUGCCAGCAUAGGCUACAUACCACCGAACUAGCAAGGUCUCUGUUUCUGCUGUUGCCUUGGUGCUGCGUCUAGCGUCUUAAAGGGACAGCAACAUGCGUUCUAUGAGUUGCUGGUUUACUGUGUGGGUUACAUUCACAUCUAUAUAAAUGUCUUUUAAUUGUGUACGAACCGCCCUUUGCACCACUGUAUGGUGCACACUGUCACUAUGCACAUCUUAAAUGUAUAGGAAAUGUAAAUUUUGUAUUUCUAUUUUGCUUUUUAUUGUACUCUAUAUCUUCAUGUAGUUUAAAACUUACAUGCCUCUUUACCAUACUUAUCUCUCCCCUUUUUGAGCUACUGUAAAUGCCAAUUUCUCUUGGAGAUCAAUAAAGUAUCAACCUGAUGGACAGGUUUGAUUGAUCUAUG